AUGGAUUGCAAGCAGCCUCCGGCGUGCUUCAAGUGCAAAAGGACAGACCACCCGACCCUUCUCUGCCCGGGCCAAUCUGCGGAUGGGGAGUUCAUGCUCUUCGGAUAUGCCCCGGAUGAUCUGGGCUUCUCCCAGAUGGACUUGUCGGAGCCUGCAGCCACACCCUCCCUGACCGCCCUCAUCUUGGUCCUUGGGGGCAAGACUGCUUCUCCGGUGAUCAUUGUGGAUGAGCUCCGUCACCUCUUUCGUCCGGAUUGGGAUUGGGAGGUGACCCCGAUCUCUCAUCAUGAGUUCAUAACAGUGUUUCCGGAUCCCAUCAGCCUCCGCUACGGCAACCACAGUGAUGAGCUCACCUUGGCGCUCAACAAGCUCACCGGCAAUAUCUCUGUGCUGUUGGUUGACCCACUAGCGGUCGCGACCCUCUCGACGGUGUGGAUCCAGAUCUGCAGACUCCCCUCGAUUGCCAAGAAGGACCGUGUCGUUCGGAAUAUGUCGAGAAUCCUUGGCAAGAUUGUGGAGGCGGAUGGUUCCUCCCUCAUCCGGGGGGCGGUGGUGCGGGCCAAGGUCAAGGCACCUGACCCAAACAAGCUCCAGACGACAAUUCAGAUGUUCUUCCGUGAUGUCGGAUACGAUCUUCGGAUCUUGGUCGAGGGGGAAUCUCAGGAUGCCCCACAUGAACCUGAUGGUGGCGAGGAUCCGGACAUUGGCAAGGGGCGUGAUGGAGGUGCUGGAGUGCAAAUGGACAUGUAA
rnacentral:rRNA from 1 species